UUUCUAGGAGGAGCAUUCUUUGAAGGAAAUUGUUUGAGAGAAUAAAAGUGAAAUAUGAGAUAUUUAUGAGGACCACGAACAUAUUUAACCCUUAACUUUAAUUGAAAAUAAUAAUGGCGGUAAAUGUAAUUAAAGGGAAGAUAAUAAUUUCACUUAUUUCGGUACUUUAUCUUUCAAUGUAUUUUUAAUUUACUGAUAUUUUUUAGUAUAUUGAAAAAAGAAGGAUGUCACACUAAAAAUAAAGAUAAUUUCCAUUUUUUUUAAAGUUGAUCUUUUAUAAUUUUAUUUUAAUUUUUUUAAACAAUAAUAAAAGGGUUGUUAUAAAUAUUUUU
rnacentral:lncRNA from 1 species